rnacentral:rRNA from 1 species
AUUGAACGCUGGCGGCAGGCCUAACACAUGCAAGUCGAACGAGUGGCGGACGGGUGAGUAAUGUCUGGGAAACUGCCUGAUGGAGGGGGAUAACUACUGGAAACGGUAGCUAAUACCGCAUACCAUCAGAUGUGCCCAGAUGGGAUUAGCUAGUAGGUGGGGUAACGGCUCACCUAGUCGACGAUCCCUAGCUGGUCUGAGAGGAUGACCAGCAACACUGGAACUGAGACACGGUCCAGAAUACUACGGGAGGCAGCAGUGGGGAAUAUUGCACAAUGGGCGAAAGCCUGAUGCAGCCAUGCCGCGUGUAUGAAGAAGGCCUUCGGGUUGGAAAGUACUUUCAGCGGGGAGGCGUUACCCGCAGAAGAAGCACCGGCUAACGCCGUGCCAGCAGCCGCGGUAAUAC